UUUCUCAUGUCAAACUGGACUUGGGAUCAUUCAGUAUAAUCUGCACAACGGUUAAGAUCCCAGGAAGUGAUCAGAAGACCCGAGGUUUGUUAAUAACCACCUUGGGCCUAUCCAGAAAAAGCUGAGUGUUUCCAGAGUCUUACUCUGUCGCCCAUUGGAGUGCAGUGGUGCAGUCAUAGCUCACUGCAAUCUCUAACUCCUGAUUUCAAGUAAUCCUCCUACCUCAGUCUCCCGAAUAGCUGGAACUACAGGUUUGUGCCACCACACUUGUUUAAUUUUUUAUUAUGUGUAGACAUGGGGUCUCCCAAUGUUGCACAGGCUGCUCUUGAACUCCUAGGUUCAAGGGAUCCUCCCACUUCAGCUUCCCAAAGUGCUAUGUUCACAGGUGUGAGCCACCAUGCCUGGCCUAAAAACAGCAAUUUUAAAGAGAUGUAAAAGUGAAUUUCAGAUUAUUUGGUAAGGCAGAUUACAGAAUUAACCAAAACCUUUUGUGUGUGUGUGUGUCUUCUAUUCCCAGUAUUGUUUAGAUGUUGAAUAGAUUACCUGCCCCCUUCAAUUUUCAUUUGAUCUUCAUACUUUGGAGUCAGUGUCAUUUCUCACCAAGUAACUUUCAUUCAUUAUGUCUCUGUUUUAGAAACUCUUCUCAGGGCUUGACCUUAGCUUAUUGUAUCAUGUGUUCAUUUCUCAGAUUCUCUGUGCUCAAAGUAGACAAAACUAUAUGAAAGUGGAGGCAUUAGCCGGGCACAGUGGCUCACACCUAUAAUCCCAGCACUUUGGGAGGCCGAGGCGGGUGGAUCACGAAGUCAAUAAAUUGAGACCAUCCUGGUCAACAAGGUGAAACCCCGUCUCUACUAAAUAUACAAAAAUUAGCUGGGCGUGGUGGUUCGCGCCUGUAGUCCCAGCUACUCGGGAGGCUGAGGCAGGAGAAUUGCUUGAACCCAGAAGGCAGAGGUUGCCAUGAGCCGAGAUCGUGCCAUUGCACUCCAGUCUGGGUAACAACAAUGAAACUCUGUCUCAAAAAAAAAAAAAAAAAAAAAAAAAAUGGAGACACUAAUUCCCACCUUAGAGUGGUACAUACAGUUUGAAUUUUAUUUGCAAACCAUUUAUAUUUAGAUUUGCUCUAGAAAGAGUCAUUUUUGUGCCACAACUCUGUGUGUAAUAUGUAAUAUUUGAUAUAUUUUAUAACAUUUAUUAUAUCAUUUGGGAUAUUUGUGUUAAUAUUGAACAUGCUUGUUAUGUCAGAGGUGGGGAGAUGAGAGAAAUGCAUUCCCUUAUAUUGCACUGAUACUAAUUUUUAAAUGGGUAUAUAUGUUAGGACUCUCUAGGUUGUGUGAUGUAGAUUACACAACUCAAUCUAGUUAUAAUAAAAGGAAUGUGUUUGCUCAUAUAACCGUGAAGCAUGACUUGAUUCAGGAGUCACCAGGGCUUGGUUUUCAUUUUUCUGCUUAGCCUCUUCAAUGCUAAUUCUCUUUUCAGGAAGGCAUUUUUCUCAUUGAGGAAAUAUAGCUGCAGACAGCUUCCAUGGUUUCAUCCUCUCUGGUCCUUGUCCAAAUUAAAAAAAAAAAAAAAAAAAAAAAAAA